AUGAACGCUGGCGGCGUGCCUAAUACAUGCAAGUCGAGCGAACGGACGAGAAGCUUGCUUCUCUGAUGUUAGCGGCGGACGGGUGAGUAACACGUGGAUAACCUACCUAUAAGACUGGGAUAACUUCGGGAAACCGGAGCUAAUACCGGAUGAUAUUUUGAACCGCAUGGUUCAAAAGUGAAAGACGGUCUUGCUGUCACUUAUAGAUGGAUCCGCGCUGCAUUAGCUAGUUGGUAAGGUAACGGCUUACCAAGGCAACGAUGCAUAGCCGACCUGAGAGGGUGAUCGGCCACACUGGAACUGAGACACGGUCCAGACUCCUACGGGAGGCAGCAGUAGGGAAUCUUCCGCAAUGGGCGAAAGCCUGACGGAGCAACGCCGCGUGAGUGAUGAAGGUCUUCGGAUCGUAAAACUCUGUCAUUAGGGAAGAACAUAUGUGUAAGUAACUGUGCACAUCUUGACGGUACCUAAUCAGAAAGCCACGGCUAACUACGUG
rnacentral:rRNA from 1 species